rnacentral:tRNA from 1 species
GGGGUGGUAGGACAGUGGUAGUCUCCCGGAUCGUGAAUUCGGUAACGUUGGUUCAAACCCAGCCCGCCCCG